rnacentral:rRNA from 1 species
AGGGUUUGAUUCUGGCUCAGAACGUACGCUGGCGGCACGCCUAACACAUGCAAGUCGAACGAAGUAGCAAUACUUAGUGGCAGACGGGUGAGUAACAUGUGGGUAUCUGCCCUUUGGCCUGGAAUAACACGAGGAAACUUGUGCUAAUACCGGAUAAGUCUUUACGGAGAAAGCUUUAUGCACCAUUGGAUGAGCCCGCACUUGAUUAGUUUGUUGGUGGGGUAAUGGCCUACCAAGACUGUGAUCAAUAGCUGAUUUGAGAGGAUGAUCAGCCACAUUGGGACUGAGACACGGCCCAAACUCCUACGGGAGGCAGCAGUGGGGAAUCUUGCACAAUGGAGGAAACUCUGAUGCAGCGAUGCCGCGUGAGUGAAGAAGGCCCUUGGGUUGUAAAGCUCUUUCGUCGGGGAAGAAAAUGACUGUACCCGAAUAAGAAGGUCCGGCUAACUUCGUGCCAGCAGCCGCGGUAAUACGAAGGGACCUAGCGUAGUUCGGAAUUACUGGGCUUAAAGAGUUCGUAGGUGGUUGAAAAAGUUGGUGGUGAAAUCCCAGAGCUUAACUCUGGAACUGCCAUCAAAACUUUUCAGCUAGAGUAUGAUAGAGGAAAGCAGAAUUUCUAGUGUAGAGGUGAAAUUCGUAGAUAUUAGAAAGAAUACCAAUUGCGAAGGCAGCUUUCUGGAUCAUUACUGACACUGAGGAACGAAAGCAUGGGUAGCGAAGAGGAUUAGAUACCCUCGUAGUCCAUGCCGUAAACGAUGUGUGUUAGACGUUGGAAAUUUAUUUUCAGUGUCGCAGCGAAAGCAAUAAACACACCGCCUGGGGAGUACGACCGCAAGGUUAAAACUCAAAUGAAUUGACGGGGACCCGCACAAGUAGUGGAGCAUGUGGUUUAAUUCGAAGAUACGCGCAGAACCUUACCAACACUUGACAUGUUCGUCGCGACUUUAAGAGAUUAAAGUUUUCGGUUCGGCCGGACGAAACACAGGUGCUGCAUGGCUGUCGUCAGCUCGUGUCGUGAGAUGUUGGGUUAAGUCCCGCAACGAGCGCAACCCUCACUUUUAGUUGCCAUCAUUAAGUUGGGCACUCUGAAAGAACUGCCAGUGAUAAGCUGGAGGAAGGUGGGGAUGACGUCAAGUCCUCAUGGCCCUUACGUGUUGGGCUACACACGUGCUACAAUGGUAUCUACAACAGGAAGCAAGACGGCGACGUUAAGCAAAUCCUUAAAAGAUACCUCAGUUCGGAUUGCACUCUGCAACUCGAGUGCAUGAAGCUGGAAUUACUAGUAAUCGUGGAUCAGCGUGCCACGGUGAAUGCGUUCCCGGGUCUUGUACACACCGCCCGUCACACCAUGGGAGUUGGUUCUACCUUAAGGCAAGGUUUAAAACCCUUGACCACGGUAUAGUCAGCGACUGGGGUGAAGUCGUAACAAGGUAGCC